UGGUAGCACGGCCGGUUGUUGUGUCCGGGCGCCGUUCGCUCUUUAGCUCGUUCUGGGGGGCGGGGCGCUCGAGGCCGGCAGCCGGGUGGCAGCGGGGGCGUGAAGGGGGGUGGCCCGCCUCCGGGAUCGCCGCGGGGGUCGCCACGCUUCCCCGUCAUGUUGUCUUGCGGCCCUAGGGCCCGAAGCCCUAGGUAGAGGAAGCCGAGACCAAAAACAAUGGAGAACUCAACCUCAAUUUAUAGUAUGAGUUGAAUAUGGUGAAGAGUGAUUACGUCCUGUGACAUCACCGAGGGGUCCGGCUCUCUGAGGCAGAAUCCACGUCUGUCUUCCUCAUCUUGAACCCCAGGUCUACUCAGUGCCCAGCACAUCCACUCAGUCUAAAAUUAAUCAGAUUAUCUUUUUAAACACAGCAGUUUCAUUGGGACAUAAUUUCAUACAAUAAAAGCACCCUUUUAAAGUG